rnacentral:rRNA from 1 species
ACAGCAGUCGCCGCGGUAAUACAGAGGGUGCGAGCGUUAAUCGGAUUUACUGGGCGUAAAGCGUGCGUAGGCGGCUUUUUAAGUCGGAUGUGAAAUCCCUGAGCUUAACUUAGGAAUUGCAUUCGAUACUGGGAAGCUAGAGUAUGGGAGAGGAUGGUAGAAUUCCAGGUGUAGCGGUGAAAUGCGUAGAGAUCUGGAGGAAUACCGAUGGCGAAGGCAGCCAUCUGGCCUAAUACUGACGCUGAGGUACGAAAGCAUGGGGAGCAAACAGGAUUAGAUACCCCAGUAGUCCCUGUCUCUUAUCA